UUGGAACUUCACUUCAAUUCAACUAACACGGAUUGAGAAAUCAACAUAACCAGGCACCAGGGACUGAGAACCCUCAUGAACUUACCAUGGAGAAGGGGAGAUACACACACCUACAAGUAGCUUCGGUGAAAGGCAGAAAGCAAGCAGUGCUGUAAGAAGCUGAGAGAAGGCUCUGUCAGCACAAAGGAAGGAGGAGAGAUUUUGCCAUGAUUUUAGUGAUUGGAAAAUGUCACCUGAAGUAAUGAAAGCUGGCUGAGCUGAAACCCAGAGCAUAAUUUCUUACUGGCUGGCUGCUCCAGAUAGUAACAGCUUCAGUGCCCUUCAGAAUGGAAUUUUUCUGAGCCUGUGAAGAUGUGUGAGGUGUGCCCGGCAGAUGGGAACAUCAAAAUACAGAGCUUUUAUUGGGAGUGAAAUGAGGAAGAUCUGUUUGCAUCAUAGCUAGUAUUGGUCCUCGACAACUUUGCAAGAAAGUGAAAGCCAGUGAACCCUGAACUUGUUUGUUUUCCUUUAAGGACUGGCAGAGAUCUUGUCAUGCAUUAAGAACAUCAUAUAUGCACCAAAGACAUGACCAGGGGACUCAGACCAUCUUCUACCCUCCAAACCUCAGGGACAUUACACUGCUCAGGAAGAGGGAAUCUCUGGUGGGAUACUGGAGAUCCCUGGCCCGUCUUUACGAAGUCUAACUACUCUGAGAUGUCCAUGCUGUGAGGAAGCCACUUGAAGAGGCCAUGCAGAGAAGAACUGAGGAAUUCGACAGAUACGCUGAACCUACACCAUGGACACGUGGCCCCAGCUGGGCCACCCCUGUCCCUCCAGCUGUUUGAGCAACUCCUCUGUGUUCUCACUCUUGACCUACAGAAUCCUGAGCAUAAUAAAGAGGUGAUUGUUUUGUGUCACACG